rnacentral:rRNA from 1 species
GAUGAACGCUAGCGGGAGGCCUAACACAUGCAAGCCGAGCGGUAUUUGUUCUUCGGAACAGAGAGAGCGGCGCACGGGUGCGGAACACGUGUGCAACCUGCCUUUAUCUGGGGGAUAGCCUUUCGAAAGGAAGAUUAAUACCCCAUAAUAUAUUGAGUGGCAUCAUUUGAUAUUGAAAACUCCGGUGGAUAGAGAUGGGCACGCGCAAGAUUAGAUAGUUGGUGAGGUAACGGCUCACCAAGUCAAUGAUCUUUAGGGGGCCUGAGAGGGUGAUCCCCCAGACUGGUACUGAGACACGGACCAGACUCGUACGCGAGGCAGCAGUGAGGAAUAUUGGGCAAUGGGUUAGCGCCUGAUCCAGCCAUCCCGCGUGAAGGACGACGGCCCUAGGGGUUGUAAACUUCUUUUGUAUAGGGAUAAACCUACUCUCGUGAGAGUAGCUGAAGGUACUAUACGAAUAAGCACCGGCUAACUCCGUG